CUCUCGGUGGUCUAAUGGCUUAAGACGCUCGUAUGGAAUACAAGAGAUCCGGAUUCAAGUCCCAACCGAGAUA
rfam:Trachymyrmex cornetzi contig39586, whole genome shotgun sequence.